rnacentral:rRNA from 1 species
AUAAGUAUAAUACCGAAGCUAUGGAUUUGUAAUUUAUUACAAGUGGUAGGGGAGCAUUCUAUUCGACGUUGAAGCAGCCUGGUGAUGGGUUGUGGAGUUUAUAGAAAAGAAAAUGUAGGCAUAAGUAACGAUAAUGCGGGUGAGAAACCCGCACACCGAAAGACUAAGGUUUCCUCAGCUAUGCUAAUCAGCUGAGGGUUAGUCGGGACCUAAGGCGUAGCCGAGAGGCGAAGUCGAUGGAUAACGGGUUAAUAUUCCCGUACUUGCUCUAAUGUGAUGGGGUGACGGAGAAAUGACACUGCUGCGUGCUGACGGAAUAGCACGUUGAACCAAGUAGGUAUAAGACUGAUAGUUAAAUGCGUCAGACUUGCUGAAUUGGGAUAGUACACGAAAUCUUCGGAUGGAGUGAUAAUGCAGGUAAAGGCUUCCAAGAAAAACCUCUAAACUUCAGUUAGACGCAACUCGUACCGUAAACCGACACAGGUAGUUGGGAUGAGUAUUCUAAGGUGCUUGAGUGAAUCAUGGCUAAGGAACUAGGCAAAAUAGACCCGUAACUUCGGGAGAAGGGUCGCUGGCAGCAAUGUCAGCCGCAGUGAAAAGGCCCAGGCGACUGUUUAUCAAAAACACAGGACUCUGCUAAGUUGAAAGAUGAUGUAUAGGGUCUGACACCUGCCCGGUGCUGGAAGGUUAAGGAAGGAUGUUAUCUUCGGAGAAGCAUUUGACUGAAGCCCCAGUAAACGGCGGCCGUAACAAUAACGGUCCUAAGGUAGCGAAAUUCCUUGUCGGGUAAGUUCCGACCUGCACGAAUGGUGUAACGAUCUGGGCACUGUCUCGGCCAUGAGCUCAGUGAAAUUGUAGUAUCGGUGAAGAUGCCGGUUACUCGCAAUGGGACGAAAAGACCCUGUGAACCUUUACUAUAGCUUCGUAUUGACUUUGGAUACCGCAUGUGUAGGAUAGGUGGGAGAAAUUGAAGUGGCGUCGCUAGGCGUCAUGGAUUCAUUGUUGAAAUACCACCCUUGCGUUAUUUGAAGCCUAACUCCGUAAGGAGGACAUUGCGUGGUGGGUAGUUUGACUGGGGUGGUCGCCUCCAAAAGAGUAACGGAGGCUUCCAAAGGUACCCUCAGUACGGUUGGUAAUCGUACGUAGAGUGUAAUGGCAUAAGGGUGCUUGACUGUGAGACCAACAAGUCGAACAGGGACGAAAGUCGGGCAUAGUGAUCCGGUGGUUCCGCAUGGAAGGGCCAUCGCCAAAAAAGAAAAGUACUCUGCGUUUGGCCGCUCGU